rnacentral:rRNA from 1 species
CGAAGCCUGACGGAGCAAUACCGCGUGAGGGAAGAAGGCUUUUGGGUUGUAAACCUCUUUUAUCAGGGAAGAAGAAUUGACGGUACCUGAAGAAAAAGCAUCGGCUGACUCCGUGCCAGCAGCCGCGGUAAUACGGAGGAUGCAAGCGUUAUCCGGAGUCAUUGGGCGUAAAGGGUCCGCAGGUGGCGAAUAAAGUCUGCUGUUAAAGACCGGGGCUUAACUCCGGAAAGGCAGUGGAAACUGAUUAGCUAGAGUACGGUAGGGGUAGAGGGAAUUCCCAGUGUAGCGGUGAAAUGCGUAGAUAUUGGGAAGAACACCGGUGGCGAAAGCGCUCUACUAGGCCGAAACUGACACUGAGGGACGAGAGCUAGGGUAGCGAAAGGGAUUAGAUACCCCUGUAGUCUUAGCGGUAAACGAUGGAUACUAGGUGUAGCUUGUAUCGACCCGAGCUGUGCCGAAGCUAACGCGAUAAGUAUCCCGCCUGGGGAGUACGCACGCAAGUGUGAAACUCAAAGGAAUUGACGGGGGCCCGCACAAGCGGUGGAGUAUGUGGUUUAAUUCGAUGCAACGCGAAGAACCUUACCAGGGCUUGACAUGUCGCGAAUCUAGCGGAAGCGUUAGAGUGCCUUAGGGAAUGCGAACACAGGUGGUGCAUGGCUGUCGUCAGCUCGUGUCGUGAGAUGUUGGGUUAAGUCCCGCAACGAGCGCAACCCUCGUCCUUAGUUGCCAAUAUUAAAUUAGGCACUCUAGGGAGACUGCCGGGGACAACUCGGAGGAAGGUGGGGAUGACGUCAAGUCAGCAUGCCCCUUACGUCCUGGGCGACACACGUACUACAAUGGUUGGGACAAAGGGCAGCAAGCUCGCGAGAGUAAGCGAAUCUCAUCAAACCCAGCCACAGUUCAGAUUGCAGGCUGCAACUCGCCUGCAUGAAGUAGGAAUCGCUAGUAAUCGCAGGUCAGCAUACUGCGGUGAAUUCGUUCCCGGGCCUUGUACACACCGCCCGUCACACCAUGGAAGCUGGCUACGCCCGAAGUCGUUACCCUAACCCGGUUUUGGGAGGGGGAUGCCGAAGGUAGAGCUAGUGACUGGGGUGAAGUCGUAACAAGGUAGCCGUACCGGAAGGUGUGGCUGGAUCACCUCCUUU